CCGGAUUUAAAUGCUUGGUGAGAUUACCCACUGUUUUGGAUUACCCACGGAGCUGGUCGUUCCCCCGGGUGGGGCCAGCUGAGAGCUGGGUGCGUUUGGGCGAAGGCUUCACCUCACGUGGAAGUUGAGAGUUGAAGUCAGGCGUUGGGUCCAGCAUCACAGUCUUUGCUCCUGCGGCUGUCCCUGGUGUGUCCCACCCUUCCCCCCGGGGAUGGUCGUCACAGCUCCCCAUCUCGAGGAAGGAAGCAACAACAGGCAGGAAGGGAUGUGCGGAUCCAAAACUUGCGCAUUUAGUGCACACGCCGGGACUUUCGAGUGUUUCCAAGUCGAGAUACCAAUUUUCCCUUUCGCUUCAGGAAAUGCCUCCACGGGCUCAACCUUCCCAGAAAGUUGGAGUUUUCAGCAGGCUAAAGAGAAAGAGACCCAGGAAAGGGGGGGAAGUAGCCCCAAGGGAGUAUGCCUGCAGGCUCCAUUGGCUUGGUGUGGAAUGGACUCCCAUGAAAGUUUUGUUGGCCUGAGCCCUCGGCCUGGGUGCUCAUGUGGCUACUCCAUUUGAGGAGGGCUUCAGGACUAGCUUGUCUUAUCUGCUCUUCCUGCUUCUCUCACUCCAUUGU
rnacentral:lncRNA from 1 species